rnacentral:lncRNA from 1 species
UGUUGACCUGUUCAACACAGGUAAAUGUCAACUGAUUGAUUUAGACUUUAGUUUACCUGGAUUUAACUAAUAUAUUCCAUGUAACUUUUACCAUGAUUUUAGAUGAGUAAGUUCCAAAACAUUAACACUCUUAUUAGCAGAAACACCCAUGGAUGAAGAAUCAGAAGGCUUAAUCAACGGAUGGUGAAAAUUGUCACAUGCUGUUAGAAAAAUGCCAGCUGGAAAGAUAUAAUCCCUCACACCUCCAGCACCAACUUGGACAGAUGGUAUCUCAACAUAUAGUAGAUUCACGGUGAUACAUCAGAGAGCAGAUAUAGCUGGUCAGAUCAUACAAGAAUGUUGAGACAUGGAUAGAUGGUUUCCUGCAAAGAAGAAUGUAUAAUGUAACACCUGCAGCCAGAGAGUUCGGAGAAAGGGAUCAGCUCAAAGAACAUUGGAGGGGUCUGAUGACAAUAUUGAUAUAGGUUAUGAAGAUGAUAACUCAAGAAUGCUCAGUCUUAGGAUCAUGAAAGUUGGUAGGGAGGAUGG